GACGAACGCUGGCGGCGUGCUUAACACAUGCCAGUCGAACGGAAAGGCCUUUUCGGAGGUACUCGAGUGGCGAACGGGUGAGUAACACGUGGGUGAUCUGCCCUGCACUCUGGGAUAAGCCUGGGAAACUGGGUCUAAUACCGGAUAGGACCGCACUUUAGUGUGUGUGGUGGAAAGUUUUUUCGGUGUAGGAUGAGCCCGCGGCCUAUCAGCUUGUUGGUGGGGUAAUGGCCUACCAAGGCGGCGACGGGUAGCCGGACUGAGAGGUUGGUCGGCCACAUUGGGACUGAGAUACGGCCCAGACUCCUACGGGAGGCAGCAGUGGGGAAGAUUGCACAAUGGGCGCAAGCCUGAUGCAGCGACGCCGCGUGGGGGAUGACGGCCUUCGGGUUGUAAACUCCUUUCGCCAGGGACGAAGCGUUUUGUGACGGUACCUGGAGAAGAAGCACCGGCUAACUACGUG
rnacentral:rRNA from 1 species